UGGGGAAUAUUGGGCAAUGGGCGAAAGCCUGACCCAGCAACGCCGCGUGAAGGAAGAAGGCCCUCGGGUUGUAAACUUCUUUUAUGAGGGACGAAGAAGUGACGGUACCUCAUGAAUAAGCCACGGCUAACUACGUGCCAGCAGCCGCGGUAAUACGUAGGUGGCAAGCGUUAUCCGGAUUUACUGGGUGUAAAGGGCGUGUAGGCGGGACUGUAAGUCAGAUGUGAAAUUCCAGGGCUCAACCCUGGAACUGCAUUUGAAACUGUGGUUCUUGAGUGAUGGAGAGGCAGGCGGAAUUCCGUGUGUAGCGGUGAAAUGCGUAGAUAUACGGAGGAACACCAGUGGCGAAGGCGGCCUGCUGGACAUUAACUGACGCUGAGGCGCGAAAGCGUGGGGAGCAAACAGGAUUAGAUACC
rnacentral:rRNA from 1 species